UCUCCUAUUCACCUUAUUUUUCACGACAACAAGGGCGGCGCCAUAGCGCUCAGUUUGUCAACGUACUUCCGGCCGCAUAGAAGAAGAGCAGCUGAGGCAGUGACUGAAGGCGACGCGUUAAGCUUAAAAAGUUCAUUCAAGCGCCUUUAUGUUUGUUUCUUACCAAUUUUAACGGACGGGAAGCCGACUGAGGAACACCCUUAUCCCAGGCAAUGGUUCGACUACGAUGGUCCGGUAACUUUAAACCACGCCGGGUGUUGAAAAGGUGUCCAGUUUCAGAUGCAUUGAUGUGUAGUGAUGCAGUGAACAACUGUGAGGAUGAUACAAUCAACAUGUUCCUAAACUGUGAUGCAGAAACACAAUGGGAGGAUCCAUCCGUCUCUGACCACAACUACACUUUAAAAUCACAACUCAACCUGAAGCAACCUACAUCUGAUAUGGGAAAACAAUGGUGCGGUUUCUCAGACAGGGCUUAUGCUGGUACCAGGCUAAAAUGCAUAUUUGAGCUACAAAAAUGUAAAAACACCUUGUACUGACAUACCUCAACAUAUAUGAGUGCCAUUGUUUUGUCACAAGAUGCGCACCAGUCUUGUUUUUUUUUAAGGUUUGUUUGUAAAAACUAAAAUGUCCUAAUAUAAUUAAGGCCUAGUCCUGUAAACCCUGUCGAAGAAACCGCUUCAAUGUGUUAAGCUGGCACACAUAUCUCUACUGAGAAACAACCAUCUUUGUCAGCUUUACAGAGGGUUGAUAUUGCAUCAAUUACACAGUCACCAAGCACUUUACCAGUACAUACACCAACAGCUUCCAGAUAAACACUUGGGAUCAGCUCCUGAUGACUCCGAUAAAGCUGUGUCUUAAUUUAUUGCAGGGUGGUCUUGCUGAAAAGUUAGCUGUUUCUUAGUCUAGUUAUCUUUAUAAACCUUUACAGUGUGACCUGAUUUUACCUGUUGUAAAGUUACAUUAAACCUUCAUAUGUGAUUAGAUGUCAUGCAGUGAUAUUAAACAUUUACAAUGUGAGCUGUUGUGCAUUUAUUAAACCUUUACAAUGUGAUCAGGUGUUACCUGCCAUGCAGUUAUAUUAAACCUUUACAAUGUGA